rnacentral:lncRNA from 1 species
ACGCCUGCAACUAGAUCUUCUGACGUUGUUGUUAGGGAUCCUUAGGAUGACUAGUCUCCUUUUCUCUUGUAUUUUUUGUACUUUGGUUUCUGAAAUUGUACUCAGUGUAAUCCUUCCGAUUAUAUAAAUAAAAGAGAUUUUUGAUGGUCAUAUCAAAUUGUUGCAAUUGUUGUUUUAAAUAUACAUAUUUGCAAAUAAAAUAGUAA